CGCGUAGGCGGUUUGUUAAGUCAGAUGUGAAAGCCCCGGGCUCAACCUGGGAACUGCAUUUGAUACUGGCGAGCUAGAGUAUGGUAGAGGGAAGUGGAAUUCCGGGUGUAGCGGUGAAAUGCGUAGAUAUCCGGAAGAACACCGGUGGCGAAGGCGGCUUCCUGGACCAAUACUGACGCUGAGGUGCGAAAGCGUGGGGAGCAAACA
rnacentral:rRNA from 1 species